rnacentral:rRNA from 1 species
GACGAACGCUGGCGGCGUGCUUAACACAUGCAAGUCGAACGGAAAGGCCCUGCUUUUGUGGUGUUCUCGAGUGGCGAACGGGUGAGUAACACGUGAGUAACCUGCCCUUGACUUUGGGAUAACUUCAGGAAACUGGGGCUAAUACCGGAUAGGAGCUCCUGCUGCAUGGUGGGGGUUGGAAAGUUUCGGCGGUUGGGGAUGGACUCGCGGCUUAUCAGCUUGUUGGUGGGGUAGUGGCUUACCAAGGCUUUGACGGGUAGCCGGCCUGAGAGGGUGACCGGCCACAAUGGGACUGAGAGACGGCCCAGACGCCUACGGGAGGCAGCAGGGGGGAAUAUUGCACAAUGGGCGGAAGCCGGAUGAAGCAACGCCGCGUGCGGGAUGACGGCCUUCGGGUUGUAAACAGCUGUAGCCUGUGACGAAGCGUGAGUGACGGUAAUGGGUAAAGAAGCACCGGCUAACUACGUG